rnacentral:rRNA from 1 species
AACGAACGCUGGCGGCAGGCCUAACACAUGCAAGUCGAGCGCCCUUUCGGGGGAGCGGCGGACGGGUGAGUACCGCGUGGGAAUAUGCCCUUCUCUACGGAAUAGCCUCGGGAAACUGAGAGUAAUACCGUAUACGCCCUUUGGGGGAAAGAUUUAUCGGGGAAGGAUUAGCCCGCGUUGGAUUAGGUAGUUGGUGGGGUAAUGACCUACCAAGCCGACGAUCCAUAGCUGGUUUGAGAGGAUGAUCAGCCACACUGGGACUGAGACACGGCCCAGACUCCUACGGGAGGCAGCAGUGGGGAAUCUUAGACAAUGGGGGCAACCCUGAUCUAGCCAUGCCGCGUGAGUGAUGAAGGCCUUAGGGUUGUAAAGCUCUUUCAGCUGGGAAGAUAAUGACGGUACCAGCAGAAGAAGCCCCGGCUAACUCCGUG